AGCGCGAAUCGUCAGCAAUCAAUAUUUUCACAUUUGAAGCGAUGGUAAAGAAUCGAUUAUUAAGAUGCUCAUCGCAAACACCCCGAUGAUCGAUCCUAUAUCAUAGGUUUAAAUGACAGGGAAAUCGACUUAUCGUAAACCAUGCCGGGCGAGGGGGGUCCGCGAGUGAUCUGCUGAGUAUAAAACUAAAUGUCAUUACCUCAGUAUCUGAAGUUAUUCAUUGUAGUUUUUGAAGGCAAUCUCACUGCAGUUCAACCACGAUGAUCGCCUUCAGGUUUCUUACGUAUGUUUCUGGGAAGAAUUUAGGAAUUCCAACAAGCACUUAGAUUCAAUAUUAUUCUCCCUCAGAAUAAUUUUAGCGAUCUGAGGAAACAGGGUAAUACAGAAAGGUGUUACUUCAACUGAAUGAGAAGCAGAUAAAUUAUGAGUACCUGAACAAUUGUGAAAACCUUUCAAAGAAGUAUGAUUCUAACUUUUUGGCUACUGAUAA